rnacentral:rRNA from 1 species
AGGGUGACAGCCCCGUACACAAAAAUGCACAUGCUGUGAGCUCGAUGAGUAGGGCGGGACACGUGGUAUCCUGUCUGAAUAUGGGGGGACCAUCCUCCAAGGCUAAAUACUCCUGACUGACCGAUAGUGAACCAGUACCGUGAGGGAAAGGCGAAAAGAACCCCGGCGAGGGGAGUGAAAAAGAACCUGAAACCGUGUACGUACAAGCAGUGGGAGCACGCUUAGGCGUGUGACUGCGUACCUUUUGUAUAAUGGGUCAGCGACUUAUAUUCUGUAGCAAGGUUAACCGAAUAGGGGAGCCGAAGGGAAACCGAGUCUUAACUGGGCGUUAAGUUGCAGGGUAUAGACCCGAAACCCGGUGAUCUAGCCAUGGGCAGGUUGAAGGUUGGGUAACACUAACUGGAGGACCGAACCGACUAAUGUUGAAAAAUUAGCGGAUGACUUGUGGCUGGGGGUGAAAGGCCAAUCAAACCGGGAGAUAGCUGGUUCUCCCCGAAAGCUAUUUAGGUAGCGCCUCGUGAAUUCAUCUCCGGGGGUAGAGCACUGUUUCGGCAAGGGGGUCAUCCCGACUUACCAACCCGAUGCAAACUGCGAAUACCGGAGAAUGUUAUCACGGGAGACACACGGCGGGUGCUAACGUCCGUCGUGAAGAGGGAAACAACCCAGACCGCCAGCUAAGGUCCCAAAGUCAUGGUUAAGUGGGAAACGAUGUGGGAAGGCCCAGACAGCCAGGAUGUUGGCUUAGAAGCAGCCAUCAUUUAAAGAAAGCGUAAUAGCUCACUGGUCGAGUCGGCCUGCGCGGAAGAUGUAACGGGGCUAAACCAUGCACCGAAGCUGCGGCAGCGACGCUUAUGCGUUGUUGGGUA